UACGUAGGGGGCAAGCGUUGUCCGGAAUCAUUGGGCGUAAAGAGCGUGUAGGCGGCCAGAAAAGUCCGCUGUGAAAACUCGAGGCUCAACUUCGAGCUGUCGGUGGAAACUUUCUGGCUAGAGUCCGGAAGAGGAGAAUGGAAUUCCUGGUGUAGCGGUGAAAUGCGCAGAUAUCAGGAAGAACACCCCGUGGCGAAGGCGGCUCUCUGGGGACGGUACUGACGCUGAGACGCGAAAGCGUGGGGAGCGAACAGG
rnacentral:rRNA from 1 species